AAAUUUCUGCUGUGAAACUGUGAAUUGUAAUGGUCUCCCCAACUUCUAGGACACAUUCAAUUAAAGUUACAAAACCAUACCCACCACCAAACCCCAACAAAAACCUCUUGAUUUAGUAUUUGCUUUCACUAAUAAAAAAAUAGUUGAAGUUGAAUUUCUGUUGAGAAAAGGAAACAAAAUAGUCAUGUUUAUUUAUGAGCUGAAAAUGUCAAGGAAGCUGAGGUUCAGUUAUCUAAUUUAUGUUUUAUGAAUUCUUGAUAUCUAAGGCGAAAUAAAGGAGGUACUUCUAAGUUAGAGUGAAAGUUCAGUUGAUUAACCUUUGAGUUAAGAAGAAAGAGGCCUAGGUUCUGGACUGUAUUGUGGUCACUGAGUUUGUAGAACCCCUUACUCCUUGCUGCAGACUGACUUCAACUGAAUCAUAUCAUUCACGAGACAUCAGGCAAGCUAUGUUGCUGCAUUUCCUUACCACCCACAUUUCUUGGGACUGAGAUUGGUAGAACUUCAGAAUGGUAAUGAUGCAUUGAACCUCAAGAGAGAUCAAGAUUUUGAUCAAUUUUUGGAGGAAGCUUUAGCUUUAUUUCAGAAGAAGUGGCUGCUAAAAUUUUGAUCCAAAACUGUUUCAUCCAGUUAUCAAAAAUUCUGCUCUUGAAUUGCUGCAAUCUAUUUGUCAUUGUGCAUGAAGGAGGGAAUGGUGUUAGUGUCUAUUGUCUAAGCUGCCUGCCAAACAUAGUGAGAUGCUGCUCAAGGUAAUAGGUUAUAGGGCCAAAUUAUAUUGUUACUUACCAUUGCAUAUGUUCACUCUUCCUGGAACGAGGUAUCUGAUUGUAUCUGGGUUUUCAUUUUUUGUUAUAACUUUUACUAGUAGACAAUGUUAUUGUUAUGUAAUUUUCAUGCAGUUUAUAGUGGUUUGUUGUAUUCAUGAACUUGGUACUGUUAGUCCAAACAUUACCAAAAAUUUGGAUAUCUUUUCACAUUACAUUCAAGAAUCCUACAUACACCCUCCAAAAUUGGGAUAUAUGCAAAAGUGGCAGUGCGUAGUUUCUACAACAAAAGAUGAAGCAGGACCUACUAAAGCAAAAGGCUGUGGAGUAGGAGUAUGUUUCAAUCCAAGAACUGUCCAGGUCCUUAAUAUGCUCCAUAAGGUCGUCCGCUUAAUUACAGAUGUCUCAAAGCAAGCACUAUGAAUAACCAGCGUAGACUCGUCAUCUAUAACGGACAGCCGCUGUGGAGCGUUACAGUAUAUAGGAUAAAAUGGGGGACUUGGUGUCACUGAUUCUUUUUGGCAAAGUAGACUAUAGCAAUUAAGCAACAGUUUGAAAGUUGUUAUACUAUUCCAAAGUCAAUAUGAUUAUGCAUACAAUGUCAAUAACAAGGUACUUGUUUAUAAAGAGCAAAUGUCAAUGCACCUAGUCAAAAACACCAAAAAGAAGAAAUGCAGCAGCUAGUUAGCUCCUCUCCCUUGAUGUCCCGGGGGAUUAGAGUGUCGGCAAAUGGUCAUGCUCACA